rnacentral:rRNA from 1 species
GACGAACGCUGGCGGCGUGCUUAACACAUGCAAGUCGAACGGAAAGGCCCUGCUUUUGUGGGGUGCUCGAGUGGCGAACGGGUGAGUAACACGUGAGUAACCUGCCCUUGACUUUGGGAUAACUUCAGGAAACUGGGGCUAAUACCGGAUAGGAGCUCCUGCUGCAUGGUGGGGGUUGGAAAGUUUCGGCGGUUGGGGAUGGACUCGCGGCUUAUCAGCUUGUUGGUGGGGUAGUGGCUUACCAAGGCUUUGACGGGUAGCCGGCCUGAGAGGGUGACCGGCCACAUUGGGACUGAGGUACGGACCAGACUCCUACGGGAGGCAGCAGUGGGGAAUAUUGCACAAUGGGCGAAAGCCUGAUGCAGCAACGCCGCGUGCGGGAUGACGGCCUUCGGGUUGUAAACCGCUUUCGCCUGUGACGAAGCGUGAGUGACGGUAAUGGGUAAAGAAGCACCGGCUAACUACGUG